rnacentral:rRNA from 1 species
ACUCAAAUGAAUUGACGGGGGCCCGCACAAGCGGUGGAGCAUGUGGUUUAAUUCGAUGCAACGCGAAGAACCUUACCUACCCUUGACAUCCUCGGAAUCUUGCAGAGAUGCAGGAGUGCCUUCGGGAACCGAGAGACAGGUGCUGCAUGGCUGUCGUCAGCUCGUGUUGUGAGAUGUUGGGUUAAGUCCCGUAACGAGCGCAACCCCUGUCCUUAGUUGCCAGCGAGUAAAGUCGGGAACUCUAAGGAGACUGCCGGUGACAAACCGGAGGAAGGUGGGGAUGACGUCAAGUCAUCAUGGCCUUUAUGGGUAGGGCCACACACGUGCUACAAUGGCCGGUACAAAGGGAAGCCAACCCGCGAGGGGGAGCAAAUCUCAGAAAACCGGUCGUAGUCCGGAUUGGAGUCUGCAACUCGACUCCAUGAAGUUGGAAUCGCUAGUAAUCGCGGAUCAGAACGCCGCGGUGAAUACGUUCCCGGGCCUUGCACACACCGCCCGU